UUAGGACAGUAUUUCGUCAGAUAUGGAGACAGACUUGCACUCAGAGCAUUUUGUCGUCGGAGAACCCUGACAGACGAAAACCAGGGUGGAAUGGAGGGUGUGAAAGACACGCUUAUGGAACGUAUCAGAGAAAGAUUCGGGAACGAACGAAGAGCUACGAUCAACCGCGGCACUAUUAGAAAUAAAGAUGCCUUCAAAGUCACGUGCCGUGUUGAAAUGGGGUGGCUUCACUUUCAGACCGGCGCGUAUCGUCAAGUCAGAGCAAGAGGUGGAGGUAGAACACGGCACUUGUCUGUUGACCAAACAGUGACUAUGGCAGAGCUGCUGGAAACAGGCAAAGACUUGUUUUUUUUCCAAAUGGACGUUUGCUCAAAGGACCAUGUGAAGACUUUGACUUUGAUAUACGUGAUUAUAGUCGUAAUUUAGUGCCUCACGAUGUCACUGUCGGUCAGCUAUACGAGUAAACUAGCCAUGCUGCGCAUUUACACAACAUCCAAAACUAAAGUAAUACAGCUCUCAUAUUUAUCCUCGGACUUUGAGCCCACAGAUGACCCACCAAUGGAGAGACGAUCUUUGGGGAGACGAUCUUACAGAUAACGGCACAGCAGGACUAGAAACAACAAAGUGACUCACUCAGAAAGCUCCUUUCCUGUAGAUCCAGCACCCACUUGCUCAAUGCAGUACUCUACACCAAAUGAUGAGCCUCUGUCAUCGAGCAAUGGUGCAGCAUCAGACGCCAAUAAGAGCCAAGUCAUUGUAAAUUUAAGACGUGCAAACAUAGUUGAUUUUCUUAGUAUCUUUAUGGCACCAGAAGUCCUAAAUAGUGACUUGAAAAUAGAGUUCACAAGUGAAAAAGCGGUGGACAUUAAUGGUGUAUCCAGGGAGGGAUAUUCUGCAUUCUGGGAAGAUUUUUUGGAACAGUGUGAGGGGGAGGAUGAACGAGUUCUCAGACUAAGGCCAGACUAUUCUCCCCAAAAAUGGCAAGUGCUUGGAAGAGUCUGGUUGAAAGGCUACCGGGACCAUCAAAUUUUACCUAUAAGACUGUCACCGGCUUUUGUUCUUGCCUGUUUUCAAGGACUUGGUUCAGUGGAUGAUGAACUUUUGAUGUCAUUUUCCAAAUUUUUAGCAGAAAGUGAGCGAGCAUCACUUGAAAAAGCCAUUCAAGGGAACAUUUAUGACAAUGUUGUGGAAGACCUUUUAGAAAUCUUUUCAAGAAUGGGUUCACACUGCCUGCCCUCUCCAAACAACAUACGAGCUGCCACUCUAAAAAUUGCACAUAAAGCACUUCUUCAAUAACCAAAAGUACAUAAUUGACUGUUUCCAUUCCAGUAUAGACAAAUCUGUGACAACAUUGCUAACCAAAGAAAACAUAAUGAACCUUUAUGAAUCCAAGAGGCCAACAAACAAGAAAGUGGCCCAGAUGAUAAAACAAUCAAUUGAAACCCUAAAUCCACAAGAGCAGACAGCUCUUAACUAUUUGCUACGCUUUGUGAGAAGCAUCGACCAACGAAAACUUUUGCACAGGAGCCACUGUGCUGUGGAAGGGAAAAAUUGAAAACACAUUUUAUAGACUGCAUGGUUUAUGUCAAAGACCUGUAGCACACACCUGUGGAUCAGUACUUGAAUUACCUUUCACCUACAGCUCAUACCCUGAGUUUCGCCAAGAGUGUGACAAUGUCAUGUCUGGUGAUUAAUACACGAUGGAUAUUUUGUAAUGAA